UACAGAGGGGGCAAGCGUUGCUCGGAAUCACUGGGCGUAAAGGGCGCGUAGGCGGGAUGGCAAGUCGGUCGUGAAAUCCUUCGGCCCAACCGAAGAACGUCGGCCGAUACUGCCGUUCUUGAGGGAUGCAGAGGAGACUGGAAUUCCCGGUGUAGCGGUGAAAUGUGUAGAGAUCGGGAGGAACACCGGUGGCGAAGGCGGGUCUCUGGGCCGAUACUGACGCUGAGGAGCGAAAGCGUGGGGAGCGAACAGG
rnacentral:rRNA from 1 species